CCUUUUGCUAAGGUGAUAGCUGCAUGUCCAAGCCUAUUGCGUGGCAUGGAUUUUGCCUUCUACAGCCCACUAAAGGAAAUUGAGGUGUACGGAAUGCUUAUUUGGUUGACUCAGUAUCAUCCUAAAUGUAUGAACUAAUGUUUAGGAGUUUGCAGUUCACCCGCAAACCUCAGCGAUCCAAGCUCCCCUGGAUGACCAUCACUCACCUAGAAAAGAACAAUAACAGGACCUGUUUUGCUAAUCCAGGACUGUUCUCCAGCACUAACUCUAAAUAAUCCCUUCUGUUAGAGUCCACUUUCUGGAACCUGUUGCCUCCGUUUUCAACGUUUCCCAAACUUGGUCCGUUGUGUGAGUUGGCUGUUAAAAGUUCCAGGGCCUUGCUCUCAAGGCCCAUUUUCCAGGAAAAUCUGAGCCAUGAUGCUGGGGAGGACACUUAAGUACAUCAGUCAAUCAGAUGAUUAUUAAAUUUAGGAAAUAGUAGAUCAACUGGAUUAACUGGAUUAAAAUGCAGAAUCCCAGGCCCCAGCCCAGACCUACUGAACCAGCAUCUGCUCUUUAACAAGAGCCCCAUGUGAUGUGUAGGACAGAAAACUUUGCAAAGCACAGGGCUAGACAAUCUCUAAGGUCUUCUGCAGAUCAGAAACACAGCAAUUCUGAGGUUUUCUUCAAUUUUCUAAUGUUAUUUCCAGCUCUUCCCCCCCUCUUCUUUCCUUGAUAUGCUGAUGAAAACUUUCUCUGUGAUAAGCAGAGUAGGUGUCUUGUUCUGUGAAUUUC
rnacentral:lncRNA from 1 species